rnacentral:sRNA from 1 species
GCCCAGGAGUUCAAGGCCACGGUGAGCCAGGAACUCACCACUGCACUUUAGCCUGAGCGACAAAGAGAUAACCCAUCUCUUAAAAACAACAGCAACAAAACAACAAACAAACCAGAGAUACACGUGAAACGUCAGCCAACAGGGUGGUAGAUUAAUCUCACUGGCUUGGGCCUGGGUCCUGUGCCAUGUACUCACGUUUUGAUUUUUGGCAAGUCACAUAAUCUCCUUGGCCCUCGUUUUUGUUAGUGAAAAGUGGAGAUAAGAUCUGUCCCGGCUACUUGACUGAGCCAUGGAGGAAUCAUGUGCAAUUUGGAAGUGCUCUGGAAAGUAUACUCUGGUCAUCUUACAGACCAAUGAUGCGAGCUCAGAGUCAAUAGCAUCCUUCUCUAAACAGGAGGUCAUGAGUAGCUUUCUGCCAGAGGGAGGGUGUUACGAGCUGCUCACUGUGAUAGGCAAAGGAUUUGAGGACCUG